rnacentral:rRNA from 1 species
GACGGAGGAUGCAAGCGUUAUCCGGAAUGAUUGGGCGUAAAGCGUCCGCAGGUGGCUCUUCAAGUCUGCUGUCAAAGAGCAAGGCUCAACCUUGUCAAGGCAGUGGAAACUGAAAAGCUAGAGUGUGGUAGGGGUAGAGGGAAUUCCCAGUGUAGCGGUGAAAUGCGUAGAGAUUGGGAAGAACACCGGUGGCGAAAGCGCUACUACUGGACCUGCACUGACACUGAGGGACGAAAGCUAGGGGAGCGAAUGGG